UACGUAGGGAGCAAGCGUUGUCCGGAAUCAUUGGGCGUAAAGCGCGCGUAGGCGGCCCGAUAAGUCCGCUGUGAAAGUCAACGGCUCAACUGUUGGAUGCCGGUGGAUACUGUCGGGCUAGAGUACGGAAGAGGCAAGUGGAAUCCUGGUGUAGCGGUGAAAUGCGCAGAUAUCAGGAGGAACACCGGUGGCGAAGGCGGGUCUCUGGGCCGAUACUGACGCUGAGGAGCGAAAGCGUGGGGAGCGAACAGG
rnacentral:rRNA from 1 species